GGAGUUCAUCCAGGGAGACUAAAUCAAUAGUUUUGAAGACUUGAGGCAAACAGUACAGUGUUCUCAAUGGAACAGAAGAAUCUCCUCCAACAUUAUGUAUAGAACUUGAUGGUCAGUAGGUGUUCUUGAAUUAGCUGACUUGUAACCAUACAUAGCUGUUUGAAAUCUCGCUUUUUAGCAUUCUCACCCAUCCAUGAUAUAGUCCAUGUCUCUGCUAGUUUCCUUUAGCUUGUGCACUCAGCCUGUUGGUUUUACUUAAAGGUGAGCUGCUUUUGUCCCUUUGUCUCAGGUUCUUUAUUAUUACAUCUUACUAAGAAGCUCUGUGAUCUGGUUUUGAAGGCCUUGCCAAGUUAGCUACAGAAAGCACAGGAGUCCCAUCAUAUUUAAUGUCAGGACAAACAGCCUUAUGUUCAGUUAUACUAGGGUAUUUUAAGACUUACAUCAGUGAGAUAUAUAAACCCUUAGUUAUUUGAAAAAAAAAAGAAAAAGGUAACUCUUUUCUGUUACCUGUUUAAGAAAUAGGAGCAAUGACAUGACUUUGAGAUAAGUCAGAAUGGUGUUCCUAAAGGUGUACCUGUGUACCCAGGAAGCAGCCUUCCAAGACAAUUUAUGAAUCAGGUGCUUCAAUUGUGGGUGAGAUUUAGAACUGAUGUUAAGACUUGACUUACUGUAUGUAAAUACAUGAUUUAUAUACAGAAUUCCUUCCUAGUGGAAGAGGUUGUUCUAAGGUGG
rnacentral:lncRNA from 1 species